rnacentral:rRNA from 1 species
AUUGAACGCUGGCGGAAUGCUUUACACAUGCAAGUCGAACGGCAGCACGGGGGCAACCCUGGUGGCGAGUGGCGAACGGGUGAGUAAUACAUCGGAACGUGCCCAGUCGUGGGGGAUAACGUAGCGAAAGCUACGCUAAUACCGCAUACGAUCUCUGGAUGAAAGCGGGGGACCGCAAGGCCUCGCGCGAUUGGAGCGGCCGAUGGCAGAUUAGGUAGUUGGUGGGGUAAAGGCCUACCAAGGCGACGAUCCGUAGCGGGUCUGAGAGGAUGAUCCGCCACACUGGGACUGAGACACGGCCCAGACUCCUACGGGAGGCAGCAGUGGGGAAUUUUGGACAAUGGGCGGAAGCCCGAUCCAGCAAUGCCGCGUGUGUGAAGAAGGCCUGCGGGUUGUAAAGCACUUUCAGUGGGGAAGAACGGAUACGGGCCAAUACCCCGCAUCACUGACGUUACCCACAGAAGAAGCACCGGCUAACUCCGUGCCAGCAGCCGCGGUAAU